CUUUCUAAUCAAUAUGGGAUUGAAAUUCAUUCAAAGAACAGAUCUUCUAUUUGUGAGUUAUCUUGUCGCUGACUCGCUGCUAUUAGCCUUGCAUGCCUGUUUCAAUACAUACCAUUGAAAUCCUUCAAAUCUAAUGAUAUAUUCCACUAGGCCUUGACUAAUGCCAGAGCAAUCUUUUGUCACCCUCCACUUGCGUAGUGUAUUCAUCUUUUUCUUACCAUCUUGACUUAAUAUAUUUCUCAUGAUAUCCCCCACUCAGCUAAUCUCAGGGCCUCACUGCAUUUUGGCUUCAUAUCUAUGAUUCACAAUGGAAACGCGUAGACAAGCCUCCACAAGGUGUCCUGUUACCAUCACCUUUUUUGACUUAGGUGAUAUGACUGCAUCCCCAACACCCCAAACAUCCAAGUUCAUUGUAAACAUGUAUAAAUGCAGUAGUUGCUUUAAUAGAAACAACAUUCACAUUAUUUGUCACCAAGAAAGAGUGCUAUCAGAAUGGCGAGCAACCUCCGCUUACUUGUGAUUUUAUUGGGUUUUUCUUACCUUAUCUGUGUGAAUGCUGUCCCAGUUGCAAGAACCAGAAGGAUGCAUGGAUAUCAUCAAGGUCAUCAAGUUUCAGAGGUUUCCUUCCUGAACAACAUGGAGAAAAUUUGGGAGGAACAAAACAUUAGAGCAAGGAUGGAUGCGGAGCUGAAUGAUUAUCCAGGAUCAGGGGCUAACAACCGCCACACUCCAAACCCCCACUAGGAAGAGGCUUAUGGAUUCUUAGUUUUUCUAGAUAGUAAUUAUGUUUCUGGGUAAUCUGGUAUCAUGUUAAGAAUGGUCAUAAACAUGAUUUUGCACCUUAGUUGUUCGUAUUUAGGAGUUUAGAGUUCAACUAUUCGUUUCCACCAUAGCUGUUUGUUAUGUUAUGGAGGAAUCCAAGAUUCCAAAUCAAAUCAUGUUUGUUUGUGUAUCCUGUCCUACAUCUACAUCCAUUAUGGGGUUCCAUGUUGUCCUGAGAUAACUUCUGUUUGAUGCAGAACCAGCAGGAUCAGAGGCACCCCUUAUUCUACAGUGGUUAAUUUGCCAUGUAACUUUCUUGUAUGGGUAAAACCCCUUUGUUCUUGGUAUUUCUUGAUUAUGAAGUAAAUUUCAAACUUCUAGUCGGUUUUGGUUUCAAGUUUUAGAAUCCUGCCUUCUAUCUUCUCUGUGAUAAGUCUUAUUUUUCUUAUGUGUUGCAAGUUUGCUUGCAUGCAUAUACAGCUUUCUUUCUUGGUAUGCUUUGUGGCAGUUGCAACUGCUAAAGAUGUGUUCCCACCCUUAGGAUCUGGCAUGGAUUACUCAAAAAAGAAAGGAAAACAGGGAAGGAGAAAAAAGAACUCUGCCUUAAUUGCUAAGUUUCUUGGACACGGCAAAAUUCUGGUGGCCUUUAACUAGGAAUUGCUUAUUUCUUGCUUGACUUGGCUUUGUUUUGGAAAGAGUGUGGGGAAAUAAAAUAAAGCAGUUGCUUUCCGCAGGUAGGUGUUGGACAACCAAACUAAUCUUAGUUUUUGUAAAUCUAUUGUUCUUUGACACAAGAUCCUGUUAGGUGAACCGCUUAAAAGUUUUUGUAAAUAUCUCAAACAUAGUUUAUGUUGAGUGGAGGAAGUGGAUUGUUAGGUAGCAGCAACCACUUUGUUACAAAUUUCCACUUUGGAGCCUUGGGGUCUAUUGGAAGUCCCAUGGGCCAUGGGAUGAUAAUAUUGUUUUGUUUUCUACUUUUCUAUAGCAUCUGCAGGCACCCAUCUGUUAGUAAAAGAGAAAAAAGAACUUGGGAAGCACAUUCUUUGAUGAAACACACAACAAACACCCAUUUCAAAUGCUAUGUUAAACAAGGUCUAGCAUGACUUGGAGAGGCAGAAAAGUUGGCUACACAAAUUUGAAAAAACUCACCCUAUCAAAAGAAAUUGGAAUCUGAUUUGGACACCACCGACUACAGUUUCGGUGCAUGAAGCUUUGUUUCAAGUAGGCUCUUUCAAAGCAAAGGCUGUCCAAAUGAGUUACCAAGGAAUUUUUGUGGACAUGGGUUGUAAACUUUCUCAUCCCAAAGAAUCUGAUUUGCUUGGCCUAGUAUCAUGUUAUUCAUCACAACAAAAUCCCAAAGAAGCUUUUCUUCUAUGUUAAUUCUGAUCCUCAAAACAUUUCCAACAGUGCAUGUUUGGCUUGGAAGUUACAACAGACUGCAAAUUGUUUAAAACUUUCUUGUCUUGAAGAUCUACUUGUUUUAUUGUUCUGGAGGUAUAGCACAGGUACCAUACCUCCAACAGAGUAAACCAAUUACUUGUAGCUUCAUCAUAAAAGGUUUCACAGCUGUGUCAUGACCUAAGUUCACCUUCAUGCUUGGGUGCAUGAUUUUUUUACUUUUUUCUAUUUUGACAGAAUUGUUGGGUUAUUCAAUUUGUUGGAAUGAUGGCUUCCCACCCAAAUGCCUCAACUCAGUGAACUUAAUUCCAAUAGUAAAAGCGUACCUAACAUCAAUAUCACUUUAGACCCAAAAAUUCCGAAACUUAUAGCAUAUGGUAGAUUACCAUGGCUGCUAAAGCUCAAGUUUGAUAUCUUUAUUACAAAGUUUCCUCAAUGCAGCAUACCAAAUCAAUGUUUGGCACUAAGAUGGCAGCACUCCAGGAAUUACUCAAUGAGAUAUAAUUUUUCUGCAUCAUAACCACAACUUCAAACCCUAAUGACAUGAUGAUAGAAUAGACAUGCCUGACCUUUAUGAUCUUUUGUUGGGCAUUUGCCCUGUUUUCUUUUAAAUUCUGGUAAUAGUAGAAUCCAUUGAAAGAAGUAGCAAAAUCUAAAAAGGGAGAGAUGCAUGGUUUAGUUGUUUGAUUGUAAUCAAUUAUAUGUCCAUUGAAAUUGUAGUGGGUUGAGUGAGAAAGGAAAAAAGAAAAUGUCUAAAAAAAAAAAAGCCUCAUUUCUCAAAAAGCAUAUCCUGGAUCAAUGUUUCUCAUAAUGCAUAAGGGAUAUGGGUGUAACAGAUUUUUCCUUUUUCCUUUUGUCUUUUUUUGGGGUAAGAAGUAAACAAUCAACAUUGACAUCAGUAUCUCUAGUUUGUUAUGAUACAUGAAGUCAUUCAUUCACCAAAACUCAACUUAUAUAAUCUUGUUUUCUUCUUUCUGAAGUCGUAAGUCAUAACCCAGUAACAAAGUAGGCAACUUGACCUACUUUCUUAAUGCCAUUUGAAAGUCUAGAAGGUGGCCAAACCUACUGACUGUAAUUGGCAAUAUUUCACAAAAAUGAAUACCCUUUAAAGUUUGAUACCAAGCAGAAAACACAGAAGCGGAAUUUUGUGUUUAUUUUAGUGAUGUUGAAAGGCUUCAAGUGUCUUUAUUAAUAUUGUUAGGUAAGUUCCUAUGUAGAUGUAUGGUUAGCCCAAAAGAUGGAAAUAAAUAUGGCAACCACUCCACAUACUCAAAAGGAAAAUGAAGAAUACCUUGGGAACAGGAUGCUAGUCAAUUUUAAUAAAAUCAGCUUAGGGACCCCCUCUCAUUGCUAGAAUUUAGCUUCUACUGUUUGUAAUGGUGGGGCUAUCUAAUUAAUGAAGCAAUGGGGAUAUGAAUAAGUGAGAAAACAGCUCUCUUCACCACUUCUGAGACAAUUUAAUUUUGCUGCCUUCAUUAAUGUUUUUCCUUUCACUCAUCAUAUUUUCUUUCCCUUUUUUAAGCUAAAGAACAAAAAAGGAAAACAAAGAGCUGAUUAUGCAGUGGGGCAUGGGAGAAAGGCAGAACCACCCUCAUUGCAAAUAAUCUCAUGAAUAUGUACUAUCCCCAAUUUUUUUACAGUAUUGGGUGAAAAGUAUUCAGUAGUGAUUCAUUGAAGCAGUUACUCAGCUUGAAGGGUGAAGGGUUAACAGUAUGUGAUCCCUUACGUACCUCAGUAUGCAUAUGGUGAUGCAUUACCUUUUUUUCUGGGCAGAAGCAACUCCACCCAAGACUCAUGGGGGUUCAGGGAAAAGGAUGGGAAAGGAUAAAUGUCAGAAGCCAAUGGUGACAACAGAGAAGGUGUGCUUGUAUAGGAAUAAUAUCUUUUGGCAUCUUUCUCAUUCUAUUCUUACUCAUACUACAGAGAGGAUCAUGUGAGAGGUGAUCAUCCAAAUAAGAGCUGGAAAUUACUUUGUUCUUCUAAUUCAUUAAUUUGCUGAGGAAUCUGUUAAGCAAAAGCUUGCAUAUAUUUCGAGAAGUGCAGAAGAUGCACUGCUUACAUAUUGAGCAGAAGAAGUUCAUAACACUGUAUAUGUAUGAAUUUUUCUUAAUUAUAUAGAUACGUCUUAAA